CUGCUGUAGCUCAGUGGUAGAGCGCACCCUUGGUAAGGGUGAGGUCGGGAGUUCAAUCCUCCCCAGCAGCAC
rnacentral:tRNA from 1 species